rnacentral:rRNA from 1 species
GACGAACGCUGGCGGCGUGCCUAAUACAUGCAAGUCGAACGCUUCUUUCCUCCCGAGUGCUUGCACUCAAUUGGAAGAGGAGUGGCGGACGGGUGAGUAACACGUGGGUAACCUACCCAUCAGAGGGGGAUAACACUUGGAAACAGGUGCUAAUACCGCAUAACAGUUUAUGCCGCAUGGCAUAAGAGUGAAAGGCGCUUUCGGGUGUCGCUGAUGGAUGGACCCGCGGUGCAUUAGCUAGUUGGUGAGGUAACGGCUCACCAAGGCCACGAUGCAUAGCCGACCUGAGAGGGUGAUCGGCCACACUGGGACUGAGACACGGCCCAGACUCCUACGGGAGGCAGCAGUAGGGAAUCUUCGGCAAUGGACGAAAGUCUGACCGAGCAACGCCGCGUGAGUGAAGAAGGUUUUCGGAUCGUAAAACUCUGUUGUUAGAGAAGAACAAGGACGUUAGUAACUGAACGUCCCCUGACGGUAUCUAACCAGAAAGCCACGGCUAACUACGUG